rnacentral:lncRNA from 1 species
AACCUUUGCUGUCUUGGAACAGAUCACCACUGCAAGAGGGGAAGUUGCUACUGUGAUGAAUUCUGCCAUGUGGUACCAGACUGCUACCCAGACCACAGUGUCCUCUGCAACCCUCCUUCUCAGAUGACCAAGAUGGUGCUGCAGAUGGUGCUGAGGAUGGAGAACCCACCAAGCCCCGCUAGGAGCCACCUAGACUGGAUGUAGAGCAUGGUGAAAAUGGAGGUUUCCUCCUCCUGCGGCUGAGUGUGGCUUCCCUGGAAGACCUCACUGACCCCAGAGUGGCAGAAAGGCUGAUGCAGCAGCUCCACCGGGAACUCCACGCCCACGCGCCUCACUUCCAGGUCUCCUUACUGCGUGUCAGGAGAGGCUAAUGGACAUCAGCUGCAGCCAGGCAUGUCCCGUAUGCCAAAAGAGGGUGCUGCCCCUAGCCUGGGCCCCCACCGACAGACUGCAGCUGCGUUACUGUGCUGAGAGGUACCCAGAAGGUUCCCAUGAAGGGCAGCAGGUCCAAGCCCCUGACCCCAGAUGUGGCAACAGGACCCUCGCUCACAUCCACCGGAGUGUAUGUGUGGGGAGGGGCUUCACCUGUUCCCAGAGGUGUCCUUGGACUCACCUUGGCACAUGUUCUGUGUUUCAGUAAAGAGAGACCUGAUCACCCAUCUGUGUGCUUCCAUCCUGCAUUAAAAUUCAUUCAGUGUGGCCCA